rnacentral:miRNA from 1 species
GUGAGAUUCUACCACUGACACC